rnacentral:rRNA from 1 species
CCUGAGAGGGUGAUCGGCCACACUGGAACUGAGACACGGUCCAGACUCCUACGGGAGGCAGCAGUAGGGAAUCUUCCGCAAUGGGCGAAAGCCUGACGGAGCAACGCCGCGUGAGUGAUGAAGGUCUUCGGAUCGUAAAACUCUGUUAUUAGGGAAGAACAUAUGUGUAAGUAACUGUGCACAUCUUGACGGUACCUAAUCAGAAAGCCACGGCUAACUACGUGCCAGCAGCCGCGGUAAUACGUAGGUGGCAAGCGUUAUCCGGAAUUAUUGGGCGUAAAGCGCGCGUAGGCGGUUUUUUAAGUCUGAUGUGAAAGCCCACGGCUCAACCGUGGAGGGUCAUUGGAAACUGGAAAACUUGAGUGCAGAAGAGGAAAGUGGAAUUCCAUGUGUAGCGGUGAAAUGCGCAGAGAUAUGGAGGAACACCAGUGGCGAAGGCGACUUUCUGGUCUGUAACUGACGCUGAUGUGCGAAAGCGUGGGGAUCAAACAGGAUUAGAUACCCUGGUAGUCCACGCCGUAAACGAUGAG